rnacentral:tRNA from 1 species
GGCCGGUUAGCUCACUCGGUUGGAGUGUGGUGCUGAUAACACCAAGAUCACGGGUUCAAUCCCUGCUCCGUCCC